GACGAACGCUGGCGGCGUGCUUAACACAUGCAAGUCGAGCGGAGCGGCGAACGGGUGAGUAACGCGUGAGUAACUGCACACCUCUCUGGGAUAACAGUUGGAAACGGCUGCUAAUACCGGAUAGUGGGGGAUGAAUCGCGUCCUAUCAGCUUGUUGGUGGGGUGGUGGCCUACCCAGGCGACGGCGGGUAGCCGGCCUGAGAUGGCGACCGGCCACAUUGGGCUGAGAUACGGCCCAGAGUCGUACGGGAGGCAGUAGGGGCGAAUAUUGCGCAAUGGGGGAAACCCUGAUGCAGCAACGCGCGGGCGGAAUGACGGCCUUCGGGUGGGAAACCGCUUUCAGCCAUGACGCGUUAGUGGCAGAAGAAGCACCGGCUAACUACGUGCCAGCAGCCGCGGUAAUAC
rnacentral:rRNA from 1 species